rnacentral:lncRNA from 1 species
UAGAACGGUUGCACCACAAGGUGUGUGGGCCAACAGCAUUUAGAAAAAAGAGACCACAUUACCACAAACCAAUCCAGUAUUUAUCACAUACAACCAACAUACUAAGGAGAAAAUCUUUGGUAAGAUUCGAUUUUACGUGCCUAGGGGUACUUAGGAGAAAAUCUUCGGUGGAGUAGUCGUACCACAGGGUGUGUGUGGGCCAACAACAUUUAGAAAAAAAAGACCACAUUACCACAAACUGAUUCAGUAUUUGUCACAUACAACCAACAUACUAAGGAGAAAAUCUUCGGUAAGACGGUCACACCACAUAAGCUGACGCAGUUCGAUUUUAUGUGCCAAGGGGUACUUAGGAGAAAAUCUUCGGUAGAGCGGUCGCACCACAAGGUGUGUGGGCCAACAACAUUUAGAAAAAAGAGACCACAUUACUACAAACCGAUCCAGUAU